AACGAACGCUGGCGGCAGGCUUAACACAUGCAAGUCGAACGCACCGCAAGGUGAGUGGCAGACGGGUGAGUAACGCGUGGGAAUCUACCCAGAUCUUCGGAAUAACGCCGGGAAACUGGCGCUAAUACCGGAUAGGCCCUUCGGGGGAAAGAUUUAUCGCCAGAGGAUCGGCCCGCGUUAGAUUAGCUAGUUGGUGAGGUAAUGGCUCACCAAGGCUACGAGCUAUAGCUGGUCUGAGAGGAUGAUCGGCCACACUGGGACUGAGACACGGCCCAGACUCCUACGGGAGGCAGCAGUGGGGAAUAUUGGACAAUGGGCGCAAGCCUGAUCCAGCCAUGCCGCGUGAGUGAUGAAGGCCUUAGGGUUGUAAAGCUCUUUCACCGGAGAAGAUAAUGACGGUAUCCGGAGAAGAAGCCCCGGCUAACUUCGUGCCAGCCGCCGCUGUAAAAC
rnacentral:rRNA from 1 species